rnacentral:rRNA from 1 species
UACGGAGGAUCCAAGCGUUAUCCGGAUUUAUUGGGUUUAAAGGGUGCGUAGGUGGCCUGUUAAGUCAGGGGUGAAAGACGGUAGCUUAACUAUCGCAGUGCCCUUGAUACUGAUGGGCUUGAAUGAACUAGAGGUAGGCGGAAUGUGACAAGUAGCGGUGAAAUGCAUAGAUAUGUCACAGAACACCAAUUGCGAAGGCAGCUUACUAUGGUUUUAUUGACACUGAGGCACGAAAGCGUGGGGAUCAAGCAGG